GUCGUAACAAGGUAUCCCUACCGGAAGGUGGGGAUGGAUCACCUCCUUUCUAAGGAAAUAAUUUUUUAAAUAUUCAUCUUCAGUUUUGAAAGACUUAGUUCUUAUAAGUUUUUCUUUUUUAAGGAAAAGAAAAUGGGCCUAUAGCUCAGUUGGUUAGAGCACACGCCUGAUAAGCGUGAGGUCGAUGGUUCAAGUCCAUUUAGGCCCACC
rnacentral:tRNA from 1 species